rnacentral:lncRNA from 1 species
AGAAUAGUUGUGUAAAGGAUAGAGCGCAUGUAUCUUCAUCUUGCAUUUAGGUCAUUUCUUGAAAUACAGAUUGAUUUUUCUGUUGCCAUAAUGACAAAUGCCAUAUUUAGGGUUUUCUUAACAGGUUAGGAUGUCUCACAUAACCACAGGAUUCCUCAGAGUGACCAUGCUGCUCUUCAGAGUGCUAGCAGGCUAGCACUCAUCACUGAGAAUGAUGGAGCGCCUUCCACACGUCACACCACACCCCCAGCCUCGUCCAAUCAGUGACAGUAAAUGGAGUGACAGCACAUGUGACAGUGAUGCCCCAGGGGAGGGGCUCUGGCAGCAACUUUAAUCGGGUGAAUGAUUAGACAGUGGCCAACUGACUGAAGACAGCAGAGAAGACAGACCAAGAGAGCUGGCUCAGUGCUUAGGACACACUGAGAAACUGAAAGAGGAACAAAAGACGUGAGAAAGAAGCCAUCAUGUUUACAGACGUUUCAGUGAAAAGUGA